rnacentral:rRNA from 1 species
UACGGGGGGAGCAAGCGUUGUUCGGAUUUACUGGGCGUAAAGGGCGCGUAGGCGGUCGUGACAAGUCACUUGUGAAAUCUCCGGGCUUAACUCGGAACGGUCAAGUGAUACUGUCGGACUAGAGUACAGAAGGGGCAACUGGAAUUCUCGGUGUAGCGGUGAAAUGCGUAGAUAUCGAGAGGAACACCUGCGGCGAAGGCGGCAUCCUGGACCGACACUGACGCUGAGGAGCGAAAGCCAGGGGAGCAAACGGG